rnacentral:tmRNA from 3 species
GGGGAUGUAAGUUUCGACAAGGUUAUUGCCCCAUUAAGUGCUUAGAGCGGUAUGACCGUUACACCGCUGAAAUCACAUCCGGUCAUUCAAAUAGGUGCAAAUCAUUCGCCUAAUUACGCUUACGCCUAACAUCGUUUAGGUAAAGCCAUCCUGGCCUUAAUGCUCGCUAGAGGAUCCCAGGGUGUCAUUCAGCGAGCUCUGUUGGAUAAGAAGUUCUCCAUUAUCCAAUUAAAAUGAAGGAGGAAUAGCCAAAGAUAAUUUUGUUGAUCUCUACUCUUUGGUGAAAUAAUAAAUCAACUACCUAAGUAAACACUUUUUGGGAAAAACUUUGGACGAGAGUUCAAUCUCUCCAUCUCCACCC